rnacentral:lncRNA from 1 species
CGCUGCCCACAGCUUUAUCGCAGAAAAGGUCCGAGAAAUCCCUCAAGCGAUGACCAAGCCUGAGGUGGUCAACAUCCUUCAACCCCAAACCACGAUGAACCCCGACAGAGCCAAGCAGGCCAAGCUAAUCGUCCCCAACAGCACGGCGGGACUGAUCAUCGGUAAGGGAGGAGCGACCGUGAAGGCGGUGAUGGAACAGUCCGGCGCGUGGGUGCAGCUGUCGCAGAAGCCCGAGGGCAUCAACCUGCAGGAGCGCGUGGUGACCGUGAGCGGCGAACCCGAGCAGGUGCACAAGGCCGUGAGCGCCAUCGUGCAGAAGGUACAGGAAGACCCACAGAGCAGCAGCUGCCUCAACAUCAGCUACGCCAACGUGGCGGGGCCCGUGGCCAACUCCAAUCCCACCGGCUCACCUUACGCCAGUCCGGCCGACGUGCUGCCCGCCGCGGCCGCCGCCU